UACGUAGGGUGCAAGCGUUAAUCGGAAUUACUGGGCGUAAAGCGUGCGCAGGCGGUUUUGUAAGCCAGAUGUGAAAUCCCCGGGCUUAACCUGGGAAUGGCAUUUGGGACUGCAAGGCUGGAGUACGGCAGAGGAGACUGGAAUUCCUGGUGUAGCAGUGAAAUGCGUAGAGAUCAGGAGGAAUACCGAUGGCGAAGGCAGGUCUCUGGGCUGAUACUGACGCUCACGCACGAAAGCGUGGGGAGCAAACAGG
rnacentral:rRNA from 1 species